UGUCGUGAGGGGAAUCUGAAAGAAGCCGGCGGUAAAAUUCCGGUCUGAGGAACACGCACAUCAUAUAAGACCUAUGCCGUAAGGAUGGGUUUACUAAACCCAACAAAGUCUUAAAGCUAUACGGAUGUGGCAUGGAUAAAUAAUGCAGAUGUAAAGUGAC
rnacentral:ncRNA from 1 species